rnacentral:lncRNA from 1 species
CCGUUCGUGUUCUUCGGGUUCACCACGUCGGCGCGGCGGAACAAGCCGCAGUUCCUGACAGGCCCCACCUCUGUCUUCCGCAUGAUGCUCGGGCCGGAGCUCGCGGCCGGGUUGGGCGUCCCUGAGAAUGAGAAGGAAUUGAGGGAGGUGGUGGAGGCCCAGACGGUGGCGGUGAUCGAGCCGCCGUUGCCGGAGAAGGAGAAGGGGCGGAAGGAGAGGGAACCGUUUGUUAUGAAGCAAGUGGCGAGGGAGUGACCGCACGCGCGGCGAGCCAUCUGCUUAAUGCUUUAUUGAGCGGAUGAUCGAUCUUACCUGUGUUCUUCUGGUCGAAACUUCUGUACAUCAUGCGCGUGUUUGCGCCGUGUGUUUCAGUGUUUGUGUCGCUAGUGUGUGUGUGUUGUGUUCUAGUACGUGUUUGUUCAUGUGAGUUCUGGCGUCGUCAAUAAAUAAAGAUGCAUGUCAAAUUCAGCUGUGGGCUAGACAUAUAGUAUAAAAACAAUACAUAAAUCCAGUGAGUCUCUCUAUCCAUCAAUUACA